ACUCCGGCCUUGGCCAGCCCAGAAAGGCGCUCCCACAGUGCAGCGGUGGCCUGAAGGGCUCCUCAAGUGCCGCCAAAGUGGGAGCCCAGGCAGAGGAGGUACCGAGAGGGAGCGAGGGCUGUGAGGACUGCCAGCAGGCUGUCACCUCUCACCACCAACUAAAAUCAAGAAAGAAACAGGGAGGAAGGAAGAAAGGGAGGAAGGAUCUGAAAAUAAAUUCCCAAGAGUGAGAUUACGGAACAAGAAUUUGAACAUGUUUAUGGAUUUAAUACUUUAAAAGGAAGUGAAAUUAGGAGAGUUUGUAUCUUUGAUCACAGUGGAUAAAUUUCACAGCUGGCAAGAACAGAUUAACUACAUGAAUUAUUGUUUAGUUGGACCAAAAUUAAAGACAAAUGGGGAGUGACUGCUAAUGGGGACAGGGUUUCUUUUUGAGGUGAUGAAAUGUUCUGGAAUACGAUAGCAGUCAUGGUUGCACGACUUUGCCAAUGUGCUAAGAACACUGAAUUGUAUGUAUACUUUAAAAGGAUGGAUUUUAUGGUGUGUGAAUUAUAUCUCAAUAAAGCUGUUAUUAAAAAUUAAAGAAAAAAUUUCAGACACUCCUCGUAAUAGUUUUAACCAUUGCUACAGGAGAAUUCUAGAUUUGUUUUUAUAUUUGGAGGCAGCGUAUCAAUAGUGUUUAAGAGCAUAAAACCAUCAGAGUUUGAACUGUAGGGUCAUGACUUAUCUGCUGUGUGGCCCUUGGCCAGUGCUAUAGGUUGGGUCCUCCCGAAGCCAGUGCUGAGACAGAGUUUGGGGUGCAGGGUGUUUGUUAAGGAUCAACACAGGACAGGCCAAUGGCGGAAGCAGGACUGGGCAGAGAAAGGGGUGGAAAUGAGAUGCAGGCCCGACACAGCUGGAUCAGCCCUGCAGGAGCUCCAGACAGUCAGUGCUCCUGCACUGGGCUGAAACGGCCAGACCUUUAUACACUGGCCUGGCUCCAAAGCGUGCUGUGGUGCGGCCCAGGAAGGGCGUUUAUGAGGGGCUCUGUAUCUAGGGCUGACCUGAACAGCUGGCAGCAAAAGGCCCACUGCAUUGGUCACCUCCCCACAGCCGGGCAACAAGGCCAGGUCUGACCAGGGGUCUGGGUGGCAUUUCUUUGUGUCUACCGUAGCAGGUUGCUUUCACUGCUUUUGCCUGUUUCCUCACCUGCAAAAUUGAGAUGAUAACAGUAUCUACCACUUAAGAUUGCUAGAAAAUUAAAUGCAAUAACACACAUGAAGUACUUAGAGCAGUGC